rnacentral:rRNA from 1 species
UAAGGAAUAUUGCUCAAUGGGAGAAAUCCUGAAGCAGCAACGCCGCGUGGAGGAUGAAGGGUCUAUGACUUGUAAACUCCUGUAAAGAAGGAAAAAAUUCCCAUUUGAUGGGAGAUGAUGGUACUUCUGGAGUAAGCCCCGGCUAACUACGUGCCAGCAGUCGCGGUAAUACGUAGGGGGCAAGCGUUGUCCGGAUUUACUGGGUGUAAAGGGUGCUCAGGCGGAUUUGUAAGUCAGAGGUGAAAUCUUACAGCUUAACUGUGAAACUGCCUUUGAUACUGCAAGCCUAGAGUAUGGAAGAGAGUGAUGGAAUAUCUGGUGUAGCAGUGAAAUGCGUAGAUAUCAGAUAGAACACCAAUGGCGAAGGCAGUCACUUGGUCCAUUACUGACGCUAAAGCACGAAAGCGUGGGUAGCAAACA